AGAGUUUGAUCCUGGCUCAGGAUGAACGCUAGCUACAGGCUUAACACAUGCAAGUCGAGGGGCAUCAGGAAGAAAGCUUGCUUUCUUUGCUGGCGACCGGCGCACGGGUGAGUAACACGUAUCCAACCUGCCCUUUACUCGGGGAUAGCCUUUCGAAAGAAAGAUUAAUACCCGAUGGCAUAAUGAUUCCGCAUGGUUUCAUUAUUAAAGGAUUCCGGUAAAGGAUGGGGAUGCGUUCCAUUAGGUUGUUGGUGAGGUAACGGCUCACCAAGCCUUCGAUGGAUAGGGGUUCUGAGAGGAAGGUCCCCCACAUUGGAACUGAGACACGGUCCAAACUCCUACGGGAGGCAGCAGUGAGGAAUAUUGGUCAAUGGGCGCUAGCCUGAACCAGCCAAGUAGCGUGAAGGAUGAAGGCUCUAUGGGUCGUAAACUUCUUUUAUAUAAGAAUAAAGUGCAGUAUGUAUACUGUUUUGUAUGUAUUAUAUGAAUAAGGAUCGGCUAACUCCGUGCCAGCAGCCGCGGUAAUACGGAGGAUCCGAGCGUUAUCCGGAUUUAUUGGGUUUAAAGGGAGCGUAGGUGGACUGGUAAGUCAGUUGUGAAAGUUUGCGGCUCAACCGUAAAAUUGCAGUUGAUACUGUCAGUCUUGAGUACAGUAGAGGUGGGCGGAAUUCGUGGUGUAGCGGUGAAAUGCUUAGAUAUCACGAAGAACUCCGAUUGCGAAGGCAGCUCACUGGACUGCAACUGACACUGAUGCUCGAAAGUGUGGGUAUCAAACAGGAUUAGAUACCCUGGUAGUCCACACAGUAAACGAUGAAUACUCGCUGUUUGCGAUAUACAGUAAGCGGCCAAGCGAAAGCAUUAAGUAUUCCACCUGGGGAGUACGCCGGCAACGGUGAAACUCAAAGGAAUUGACGGGGGCCCGCACAAGCGGAGGAACAUGUGGUUUAA
rnacentral:rRNA from 1 species